UACGUAGGGUGCGAGCGUUGUCCGGAUUUAUUGGGCGUAAAGAGCUCGUAGGCGGUUUGUCGCGUCUGCUGUGAAAACGCGAGGCUCAACCUCGCGCCUGCAGUGGGUACGGGCAGACUAGAGUGCGGUAGGGGAGAUUGGAAUUCCUGGUGUAGCGGUGGAAUGCGCAGAUAUCAGGAGGAACACCGGUGGCGAAGGCGGGUCUCUGGGCCGAUACUGACGCUGAGGAGCGAAAGCGUGGGGAGCGAACAGG
rnacentral:rRNA from 1 species